UGGAGCCCCCCCCUACCGCCACCACAGCCAUGGAGCCCCCCUGGGGCCCCUCCAUGAAAUUUUGGUACAACAUGCAAGCUCUAGGGGAGGCUGGAGGUUGAAGAAGUGCUGCAAUCGGCUGCUCACGAGUUGGGCCAAAGAAAAUAGUAUUGCAGCCCAGUAAGACCUCAAGCCCAAGGCCCAACCGUGGCAAAGAAAACCCUAUCUUGUUUCAGUCCUGCUUGUUUCCCAUCCAUCGGCUCGCAGCAGGCAGUCCGCAGGGGGCCAGGGGCGGCACACAGCAAUCCCGGCCAGGCGCGGCGAACGGGCAGGCUGCCCGCGUGCGGCACGCCUGCGCAGCUGCUCGCUCGCGGCCUCGCGCGCCGGCGCGCGGCACGCCUGCGCCGCUGCGCGGCAGCGUGGGUGCGCAGGGCGGCAGGACUGCAGGGCGCGGCCUGCACCCCCAGCUGCAGAGGAGGAAAGGACCUGCCGCUGCUGCACAGGUGCAGAGGCAGAGGGCCACGACCACCGCCCACCGCCCAGGUAAUUUGGUAAUUUAUAUGAUAGAUUUCAAAAAAGUGAAAACUUUUUGUGAGAAAAAUGAGAUUGAAGUGCCGGAUAUGGAUGAGGAAAUAAAUGUCAGAGGGACAUCUAGACGUAGGAAGCAAAAGGUAACAAACAUGCAUUACUAUCAUGUUGAGAUUUUUCUUGUCGCCAUUGAUGACAUCUUGACUAAGUUAAACCAUAUUUAGUGAAAUUAGUUCAGAGUUAUUAGUAUGUAUGGCUUGUUUUAACCCAAGAAACUCCUCUAAUUUCAAUGUGGAUAAACUCAUGAGACUUGCUGAAAUUUAUGCUGAGAAUUUUAAUAUUGGCGAGCUUGCUCUUUUGCCAAAUGAACAUAAAUCAUUCGUCAACCGUGCUAGAAGAACUCAAGAGUUCCUUGGAUGUUCUGAACUUGGAAAAGUUGCUGAAAUUAUGGUCAAGACUAAGAUGAACACAUCUUAUCGAUUGGUUUAUCAUCUCAUUGAGCUAACCUUGAUACUACCAGUGGCAACUGCUUCAGUAGAGAGGAUAUUUUCAGCCAUGUCCCUUAUAAAGAUAGAUUUGCGUAGUAAAAUGGGUGAUGAAUGGUUCAAUGACUUGAUGAUAUGCUACAAUGAGAAGGAGAUAUUUAGAAAGAUUGAAAAUGAAAAGAUCAAAAAGAGGUUUGAAGAGAUGAAAAACCGUCGUAUGUUAAUGCCUAAAAAUUGAUGAUUGCUUCUUCGGAUGAAUAAUGGGUGUCACCGUCAUGCGCGUCGUCUAUUAGUUUCGAACUUUGGCUUUUCGGUAUGGAUAAACUGCAAUUUUAUUUUUUCAUGAUGUAUUUUUAGAUUUUCAUCAGUCAUUGAUGUUUCAAUAUAAUACUGCUUCAAACUAUUAUAUUUCUCUUUUGUGGGGUGUCUUAAUGGAGCUACAAGUUGUUGUAGCGUGUUUUUCAGCCCCUCCUAAAUUUUUUUCUGGAUCCACCACUGUCUCCAGUGAUACAAUAAUACGAGUUUAGGGUCUAAGUUUACUCGAGGGUGUUAUACAGUUCCAAAAUCAUUAAUUUGUAGAGCCAGGUCUGUGAAUUUGUUAAACACUUAACUCAGGUCCAAACAUCUUUAUUUGCACUUGAUCUUCCUACAUGGCAUUUGUGUUGCCCAAAAAUUUCAUUUUUAUGGCAAAAUAGAUGUUUCGAUUCCUUAACUUUGUCUCGAGGAUCAAAUUCGUCCUCUAACUUUUGAAAUAGCCAAUCUAGUCCCUCAGCUUUCAUUAUGGGUUAAAAUUGUUCUCACACUUACAAAGCGCUCCAUGUUGGAACGACACUAAUAUGAAAAGUUAUUUUUGCCCUUGCCUUCUUCCUCUCCUCAAAUUCCGAAAUCACCGUUUGUGCUGGACCAACUGAUGGAGCAGAUCAAGAUUUCCUACCAAAUCCAAGAAGCUAGCUCUCUGCUCCUCCUUGCUCGAGUAGAGCAGCAAGAGUGCUUCCUCUCUUUUAUCCGUUUCUAGCACAGUAGCACUCUCAAGCCAGCGAACUAUCAAUGCAGCUGGCGUAGCUAGGAUUUUCCUAUGGGGUAUGCCAAACCAAAAUUUUUAUAUGCUAACCAGCAAAAUCCAUUUAGCAAUUCGGUAGAAAUUUCAUAAAAUUAUCCAAUAAUUCGGCAUACAACUAUUAAAUGGCAUAAUAAGUCUACAUAAUACAUGAAUGAGUAAUCGACCAAUCUUACUAUUACUAAUUGGAGGCUCCUUUCAAGCUUCCACAGGAAGCCACAUAGGAUCCUAAGUGGACACUCUACAAAAAUAGAGAAAUUCUAGAAAUUCUCAUAAAAAUCAGAAACAUCCGGCCAUCAAUCCGACAACUCUAAUUAUAACAGUCAUUGAAUCUGUUAUCUUUCCUAACAAUUACCCACCUCUGCCAUUAUGAAUAUAGACUAAAGUAACCCCCCUAAUUUUCGUGUAAAUUACCCACAUUUGCCAUUAUAAAAAAUAAUACAAAUAAUCUCCUAAUUUGUCUAUAAAUUAUCCAAUUAUAUUAAUCUCCUCGGAUAUCUUGCAGAAGCAAUUUUCUCAAGCACUCUAUUGACGUGGAUGGAGUGCGAGAAAUAUUCUCAUACGUACGCUCUGAUGUGGCGAAAUACCCAAAUGGCGUUUGCUUGCCAACAUUAGCCACCAGCGUCCUUGAACUUGGGCCUUUUUUCAAUGAUUUCUUUUGCCGUUGGAAUUUAGACCAAUAAUCUUUAACAACCAGAGUGAUAUUUGCGAGUGACGCAUCGACCGCUAGGCUGGGCUUUAUUAAAGUGCACCAAUAUAAAAUUCUAAUUACUAUUCCUAUCAUUAUUAAUAAUAUUAUUUAUGUUAUUAUUUACUACCCAUCAUAUGUGUUACCAUAUGUUCAUGUAUGAUGAAAAAGAUAAGAAUACUAAUUCACAAACAAAUGAUUCAAUUAAAUAUAUAUCAAACAUACAUGCAUGGAGGUGUGAUGCGAAAUAAAAUCUAUUGCAACUAGAUAAUGAUAAAUAUGUAUUUAGAGCAUAUGUUAGAAUAUUUAAUAGAUGAAAGAGGGAAAGAUAAAUAAUUAUAGUUAUUAGCUAUAAGCUCUAUUUUUAGUAGGUAGUUAUACCCGUGCGUUGCUCUGGACAAAGCUGCGAUAAGUAUCAGAUAUGUAUAGUUGCCCGUGUGUUAAUUUGUAGAAAUCUACAUGAUCAAAUCUUGAACUGAGUGGGCUGGUCCUACUCGCAUACGAGAUGGACUAAGGCCCUCCUAUCAAUAACACGAGACGGACCAAACCAAAAAUUGAGGUAGAAACCUUACUCGCUUUAGAAAUAGGUAUAACUAUAGGCAAAUUUGACCAUGCAUUGCUAAGGACAAAGUUGGUAUAAGUAUCGGAGACAUACAGUUGCCCGUAUAUUAUUUUAUAUAGGGAUACAUGUGAUCGAGUCAUGGAUAGAGAGUUUUGGUCCGACUCGCAUACAGGUAUCAACGACAUAAGACGGAUCAAAUUAAAAAUUUAGAUAAAACUUUUAUUCGCUUUAAAGAUCAUUAUAGAUUCAUUCUAAUUAUUAACCCAUGCAUGAGCACGGGUUGAUAGGCUAGUGUAAUACAAUCCUAAUUUCUACUGCAUACAUCUACUACCUACAUCAAUUGAACUAAAUCAUGCUAAAAUCUAACAACAAAACUAGCUAACAAAUUAUGUUGCAGUAAAGAAAAGUUAGGAUUAGAGAUUUAGAGAAAAUUUGUGGAGAGAAUGGAGGGGAAAAAGCUCUCACCAUGUCCGGAGGUGGGAGGUGGCCUGGUGCCAGGCGGAAGCGAGGAACCGAGGCGGCGCGGCAAGUUAGGAUAUCAAACAAGCCUUACCAAAAAAAUCAUUGUCAUGGAUCUACGCCCUCUUUUGUCAAUCUUUGGCCUGGCAAAUGGGACCUCCAUGUCGGUCUGAUCUUGGAAUUUACGUGAUCGAGUCGUGGACGGAGGGAUGGUCCGACUCGCAUACGUGAUGGACUAAGGCCCACCCGUCAAUAAUGCAAGACGGAUCAAACCAAAAACUUAGGUGGAAACCUUACUUACUUUAGAAACACUAGACAAUUAUGCCCGUGUGUUGCUACGAAUAGAGUUGAUAUAAGUAUCGGAUAUGUAUAAUUGUUUUUUUGUUAAUUUGUAAGGAUCUACAUGAUCGAGUCA